AUCCAGUUGACGAGUCCCAAAUAGGACGAAACGCUUAUCCUGGAU
rfam:Schistosoma rodhaini strain Burundi genome assembly, scaffold: SROB_scaffold0001697